AUCAAUUCACGAACUCAUAUUAUGUACACUGCCUGGCUAUUAUUCAAGAAGAAGAAGAGAGAAUAUUUAUCUUACACGGCCUGCUGACUAUUUAUUUGCAGUACAGUUCGACGUAGUAGAUACAAGCAUCAAACUUCUGUUGCCAUACUUUUCUAGACCUAGAACCGUCAAGCACCCAUGCACGCAAUAAGAACCUAUGCAUGAUAACAAAGCCCUUCAUCUCUAGUUGUUGGAACCAUGUGUACUCUCUUUCUUACCACCAUCCGCACCACCCCAUGGCAUGUUGCCAGGGCUGCUGAUCACAUAAUUGUUAUCCUUAUCUCUUGGAAUUUCAUGGUGGUUGCUAACAGUGGUCCCAGGGUAAACUGUCUCAGCUUGGCCUCCUGCAUCGGUUUCUUCCAUCAACAAUUUCCGAGGCAUCACCAUGCAUGAGCUCAACGUAACCAUUCCAAGAAGAAUAAUGAAGACCAACUUCAUCCUUUCAAUCUGAUUACUGCUGCAAGAACAUGAAAAAGUAAUCUCAAUAUUCUAUAAUCACAGGUGUUUAAAGGGAUAUAUAACAUAGGAUUCAAAAUCAAAACAUACUACAAAUAAUAACUUAAUACCCAAACUUAAAAGAGAAUACGAAGACUUCUGUCGGGA
rnacentral:lncRNA from 1 species